AUGCAUGGAGGCAGGACUGCCCACUCGAGGUUCAAGAUCCCAUUGAGCUGCGACGAUGGCGCCUCAUGCACCUUCACAAAGCAGAGUGGUACCGCCAAGCUACUGAGGAUGGCCUCAUUGAUACUAUGGGACGAGGCCACCAUGAUUAAGCGACAGGCGGUCGAGGCACUGGACAACAGCAUGCGCGACAUCAUGGGAAGACGAGACCGACCCUUUGGAGGAAAAACUGUUGUGUUUGGCGGGGACUUCAGGCAGGUGCUUCCCGUCGUCAGGAGGGGGUCCCGGGGUCAGAUAAUCGAUGCAACCCUCCGAAGUUCACACCUCUGGAAGGGUAUGCGCCAGCUAAGGCUCGUCGCCAACAUGAGGGCUCAUAAUGACACCUGGUUUGCCGAUUACUUGCUAAGGGUAGGCAAUGGUACCGAGGAAGUUGACGAUCAAGGAAACAUAUGA
rnacentral:rRNA from 1 species